UACGUAGGGUGCGAGCGUUAAUCGGAAUUACUGGGCGUAAAGCGUGCGCAGGCGGCGCGUUAAGACAGGUGUGAAAUCCCCGAGCUUAACUUGGGAAUUGCGCUUGUGACUGGCGUGCUGGAGUGUGGCAGAGGGAGGUGGAAUUCCACGUGUAGCAGUGAAAUGCGUAGAGAUGUGGAGGAACACCGAUGGCGAAGGCAGCUUCCUGGGCCAGAACUGACGCUCAUGCACGAAAGCGUGGGGAGCAAACAGG
rnacentral:rRNA from 1 species